ensembl:lncRNA
GGAUUAAAGAGCUGAGGUCUAUGGUGAUAGGUGGGAUGGGCUGAGAGUGGCUGAGGGGCGGGAUUAAAGAGCUGAGGUCUAUGGUGAUAGGUGGGAUGGGCUGAGAGUGGCUGAGGGGCGGGAUUAAAGAGCUGAGGUCUAUGGUGAUAGGUGGGAUGGGCUGAGAGUGGCUGAGGGGACGGGAUUAAACAGCUGAGGUCUAUGGUGAUAGAUGGGAUGGGCUGAGAGUGGCUGAGGGGCGGGAUUAAAGAGCUGAGGUCUAUGGUGAUAGGUGGGAUGGGCUGAGAGUGGCUGAGGGGCGGGAUUAAAGAGCUGAGGUCUAUGAUGAUAGGUGGGAUGGGCUGAGAGUGGCUGAGGGGUGGGAUUAAAGAGCUGACGUCUAUGGUGAUAGGUGGGAUGGGCUGAGAGUGGCUGAGGGGCGGGAUUAAAGAGCUGACGUCUAUGGUGAUAGGUGGGAUGGAAUGAGAGUGGCUGAGGGGCGGGAUUAAAGAGCUGAGGUCUAUAGUGAUAGGUGGGAUGGGUUGAGAGUGGCUGCGGGGCGGGAUUAAAGAGCUGAGGUCUAUGGUGAUAGGUGGGAUGGGCUGAGAGUGGCUGAGGGGUGGGAUUAAAGAGCUGAGGUCUAUGGUGAUAGGUGGGAUGGGCUGAGAGUGGCUGAGGGGGUGGGAUUAAAGAUCUGAGGUCUAUGGUGCUAGGUGGGAUGGGCUGAGAGUGGCUGAGGGGCGGGAUUAAAGAGCUGAGGUCUAUGGUGAUAGGUGGGAUGGGCUGAGAGUGCCUGCAGGGGCGGGAUUAAAGAGCUGACGUCUAUAGUGAUAGGUGGGAUGGGCUGAGAGUGGCUGGGGGGCGGGAUUAAAUAACUGGUGUUUGGUAAUGUAUUAUUGUCAUGUGACUGCUUUAUAUAAAAGUACCAUGUAUGUUAAAUGUGUAUGUUAAAUGUGUAUGUUAAAUGUGUAUGUAAAAUGCACAAUGUGUAUGUUAAAUGUGUAUGUAAAAUGU